rnacentral:rRNA from 1 species
UAGGGAAUCUUCCGCAAUGGACGAAAGUCUGACGGAGCAACGCCGCGUGAGUGAUGAAUGUCUUCGGAUUGUAAAACUCUGUUGUUAGGGAAGAACAAGUACUAGAGUAACUGCUAGUACCUUGACGGUACCUAACCAGAAAGCCCCGGCUAACUACGUGCCAGCAGCCGCGGUAAUACGUAGGGGGCAAGCGUUGUCCGGAAUUAUUGGGCGUAAAGCGCACGCAGGCGGUCCUUUAAGUCUGAUGUGAAAGCCCACGGCUUAACCGUGGAAGGUCAUUGGAAACUGAAGGACUUGAGUACAGAAGAGGAGAGUGGAAUUCCACGUGGAGCGGUGAAAUGCGUAGAGAUGUGGAGGAACACCAGUGGCGAAGGCGACUCUCUGGUCUGUAACUGACGCUGAGGUGCGAAAGCGUGGGUAGCGAACAGG